GAAAAAGUGACCGAAGCUCGGCGCACACCGGGCUCGAAACUCGUUGAGCGGAACAUGGCGCCAGCUUUCCAAUUUAUAUUACUACUCUAUGUGCUCUAUUACUGCUUUAUGAGUAAUGGUGAUGAAGUAAAGCUUGAAAAAUUCACUUGUUUUUGUACAUUUAUACUAUCGUGUAUUUUACUAUAAUAAGUAUGAUAUUUUAAAUCGUAGAUUAAGUCGUGUUGCAUUGGCCAAUUGGCGCGCUCUUGUUAAACCUAAUCCGGGAUUUGGCUCGUUUUCCUUAGGGCUUGGUUGAAAAUUAGAUAUUCGAUUCUAACUGGUCUUAACUCCAACGGUGAUACGACAAUCAUCUAUCCAAAAAAUGAACCGAAUCCAGUCACAAAAAUUCGCCUAAUGCUAUGUACUGCUUCACCAGAUAACGUCACUCGCCGUGUUUUUUAAAGGGUGAUACCUCCCUUAAUAUUAGAGGCCAAAUCCGAAAUCAGCCGGUUAGAACUCUCCGGUUCGUAUACCGGAACUUUCAAGCCGAGCGCAUGACGGAAUAAAACAUCUCCGAGGGAAGUUGAUCGAUAGAAGGAACAAAAGGAGCGGGGAAUCGGAAAGCGGGCCGACAGAACAUCAUGACGAGCUAAGUCGUGAAAUGAAAGAAAUGAGCCGAUUCGGGGCAGGGCGCGCGACGGGCGGAAGCAUUAAAUUUUAACACGUUCCGGGGGAUAUUUGCCCAGCAGAUUGUGCUCCAAAACGCUCCAGGAAUAUGAAAAUCCUCGCUUCGAUGACGUAACGCUGUGAGUCCCUUUCGAGAUGAGCCCUGACAGCCGUAAAAUGCCACGCUCAGCGAGGCUUAUCUAAAAUUGAAGUUGAGGUCUUCAGCUUUCAGCUUUCAGCUUUCAGCCAGCGGAGCGACGAUACAAACGCAGUUACAGGGGUGAUGUUUGGUGUUGAUGGUACGGGACUUUGAGUCAUCCCGUAUUUGGCUAUGUUUUUCGGGGCUCAGACGAAAACAGGGUUGAUCUAUGAUCUCUCUAGUCAGCAAGGCGACAGACAACAUGAGCACAGCAAAUAAAACUAAGGGCGAACCUCUACUUGCGACAAUUGAGGAGUUUAAAAAGUCCCUGCCAUCUGAAAAUUUUCAAGGAUAAACCUCUGCAGAUCAAAUUGCUUUGAAAAUUCAGAUUUUAAGCUCACGAUGUUUGAAUCUAAUUGUCUCAAGAUGUUUGUGAUCAACGUGUAAAAGAACACAGAAGUGCAUUUUUCAUAAUUGCCGUCACAAUGAAUCAAGAAAAAAAAAAAUUGUUGACCGAAAUUUUGAGAGACUAAAUAAGCUGGAAGAGAAGAUAUUCUGAGAAAAUAUUACUAAUGACUGAGCAAAUUAUUAUUUUGAUCCCAAAUAUAGAUGUUGAAGCCA